rnacentral:SRP_RNA from 1 species
GCCAGGCAUGGUGGCGCAUGCCUGUAAUCCCAGCUAUUUGGGAGGCUGAGGCAGGAGAAUUGCUUGAACCCAGGAGGUAGAGGUUGCAGUGAGCCAAGAUCACGCCACUGCACACCAGCCUGGGUGACAGAGCAAGACUCCGUUUCAA